UUUUGAAAAAGGGUAGAAAGGAGGACCUGGGGAACUACAGACCGAUGAGCUUCACCUCUGUGCCUGGCAAGAUCAUGGAACAGAUCCUCCUGGAAGCAAUGUGAAGGCACAUGCAAGACAAGGAGGUGAUCCAAGACAGCCAGCACAGCUUCACCAAGGGCAAAUCAUGCCUGACCAAUCUGUCGGCCUUCCAUGAUGGAGUGACUGCAUCAGUUGAUAAAGGAAGACCGACCAAUGUCAUCUACCUGUACUUCUGCAAGGCCUUUGACACGGUCCCUUAUGACAUCCUGAUCUCCAAAUUGGAGAGAGAUGGAUUUGAUGGGUGGACCAUUCAAUGGAUAAGGAGUUGGCUUGAAGGUUGCACCCAGAGAGUGGUGGUCAAUGGCUCUAUGUCCAAGUGGAAGCUGGUGACGGGUGGUGUCCCUCAGGGGUCUGUCCUGGAACCGGUACUGUUUAAUACCUUCAUCAGUGACAUAGACGGUGGGAUCGAGUGCACCCUCAGCAAGUUUGCAGAUGAUCCCAAGCUGAGUGGUGCGGUUGAUACAACAGAAGGAAGGGAUGCCAUCCAAAGGGACCUGGACAAGCUUGAGAAUUGGGCCCACGUGAACCUAAUGAGGUUCAACACAUCCAAGUGCAAGGUUGGAGCACCUGGGUUGGAGCAAUCCCAGGCACGAGUGCAGACUGGGAGAAUAAGAGCAGUCCUCUUGAGACCAGCCCUGCAGAGAAGGACUUGGGGGUUCUGGUGGACGAAAAGCUUGACACGAGCCAGCAGUGCGUGCUUGCAGCCCAGAAGGCCAACUGCAUCCUGGGCUGCAUCAACAGAGGCAUAGCCAGAAGGUCAAGGGAGGUGAUUGUCCCCCUCUACUCUGCCCUUGUAAGGCCCCACUUGGAGUACUGCAUUGAGGUCUGGGGCCCACAGCACAAGAAAGAUGUGGACCUGUUAGAACGGGUCCAGAGAGGGCCACAAAGAUGAUCAAGGGGCUGGAGCACCUCUCCUAUGAAGAAAGGCUGAGAGAGCUGGGGCUGUUC
rnacentral:lncRNA from 1 species